rnacentral:rRNA from 1 species
GCAAGGCCUUGCGCUCUUUGAGCGGCCGAUGUCAGAUUAGCUAGUUGGUGAGGUAAAGGCUUACCAAGGCGACGAUCUGUAGCGGGUCUGAGAGGAUGAUCCGCCACACUGGAACUGAGACACGGUCCAGACUCCUACGGGAGGCAGCAGUGGGGAAUUUUGGACAAUGGGGGCAACCCUGAUCCAGCCAUGCCGCGUGAGUGAAGAAGGCCUUCGGGUUGUAAAGCUCUUUCGGCCGGGAAGAAAUCGCAUGGGCCAAUACCCUGUGUGGAUGACGGUACCGGAAUAAGAAGCACCGGCUAACUACGUGCCAGCAGCCGCGGUAAUACGUAGGGUGCGAGCGUUAAUCGGAAUUACUGGGCGUAAAGCGUGCGCAGGCGGUUUUGUAAGACAGGCGUGAAAUCCCCGGGCUUAACCUGGGAACUGCGUUUGUGACUGCAAGGCUAGAGUACGGCAGAGGGGGGUGGAAUUCCACGUGUAGCAGUGAAAUGCGUAGAGAUGUGGAGGAACACCAAUGGCGAAGGCAGCCCCCUGGGUCGAUACUGACGCUCAUGCACGAAAGCGUGGGUAGCAAACAGGAUUAGAUACCCUGGUAGUCCACGCCCUAAACUAUGUCAACUAGGUGUUGGGUGGGUAAAACCAUUUAGUACCGUAGCUAACGCGUGAAGUUGACCGCCUGGGGAGUACGGCCGCAAGGUUAAAACUCAAAGGAAUUGACGGGGACCCGCACAAGCGGUGGAUGAUGUGGAUUAAUUCGAUGCAACGCGAAAAACCUUACCUACCCUUGACAUGCCAGGAACUUGCCAGAGAUGGCUUGGUGCCCGAAAGGGAGCCUGGACACAGGUGCUGCAUGGCUGUCGUCAGCUCGUGUCGUGAGAUGUUGGGUUAAGUCCCGCAACGAGCGCAACCCUUGUCGUUAAUUGCCAUCAUUUAGUUGGGCACUUUAACGAGACUGCCGGUGACAAACCGGAGGAAGGUGGGGAUGACGUCAAGUCCUCAUGGCCCUUAUGGGUAGGGCUUCACACGUCAUACAAUGGUCGGUACAAAGGGUUGCCAAGCCGCGAGGCGGAGCCAAUCCCAGAAAGCCGAUCGUAGUCCGGAUUGCAGGCUGCAACUCGCCUGCAUGAAGUCGGAAUCGCUAGUAAUCGUGGAUCAGCAUGUCACGGUGAAUACGUUCCCGGGUCUUGUACACACCGCCCGUCACACCAUGGGAGCGGGUUCCGCCAGAAGUAGGUAGCCUAACCGCAAGGGGGGCGCUUACCACGGCGGGGUUCGUGACUGGGGUGAAGUCGAUACAAGGUA